rnacentral:misc_RNA from 1 species
AAGUCGUAACAAGGUUUCCGUAGGUGAACCUGCGGAAGGAUCAUCAAUAGUUCCACUAUAAUACCUUCUUGUGAACUGUUUUUAUGGUACGGAUAUUCAUAUGGUGCUGUGUGUGUGUGUAUUGCUUUAACGGUAAUACACACGGUAGUGCCAUGUGAAUGUCUAUAUGUCAUCAUUACAAACUCUGUUAAAUAUAUAAAAGUCUAAGCAGUUAAGCAUGUUGUCGUAUAUUGUAUUGAACCGUUAAUUUUAACGGUGAUUUACGUAUGUGCGCAAUUUGUCAUUAUAUAUUAAUGUCAAUACAACUUGCAGCGAUGGAUCUCUAGGCUCUG